CCUUGAGUAAGUUAUAGUGGUUUGAGUGCUGGACUACAACUCUGAGGGCCAGGGUUCAAUUCCCCGCUUGAGCA